AGCCCUUUUGCCUCUCACUCCCAGCCCAAGCUGCAACAUAAUAAGGUUAUUUUCUCCUGCUGGCUGCAAAGGAAGAAAGCAAUUGAAAGGUGUCAUACCUAUGCUGAAAAACUCCUGAAGGGCUGAUGUAUUAUGGGAUAGGAGGCAAAAGGGCUCCUGAUGUACCUGAAGGCACAUCUUUAUCUAUAGAUUGAGCCUGGAAACAUCAUGGUUUGUCUUUAACAGGAAGUUAAUUUUGGCUGAUUUCCAGUAAAAGUUCUCAAGUGCAGCAGAUGAAUGUCUGAUUCUCUGCCACCUUGCACUAUGGGUAGUCACUAAAUUUUUCAGAAAACAACCCUUUGGUCUACCAAAUCUGACCUUGCAAGUCACCUUUGUGGCAGAAUUUUUGUCUGGAGUAUGGGCACCACCUUGUUUUUCAUUCUGCAAGGCAGUGGAGGUUCAGACCACAGGACAGUUAUUUGCUGCUCUGUCCUCUGCAUGGCAUGUAUUUAUAUUUCUCAUCUUUUUCCUCUAAGCUGGGUAAAAAGUUUUUCAAUUCUAUAGGAAGUUCUAUUCAACUAUCUGGUUGAAUAAUUCUGCUUUAAGGGGUACAAGUUAUAGUCUGCCAUGCUAUCUUCAGGGAUACAAGCUUUUGAGGGACAGGCAGUAAUAAAUACUGUCCUUAAAAGCUAGAAGCUUCUGAGUGUUGGCUUAGAGGUAUCAUCACAUCCUGGUGGCUGAUGAUCCUGUCUUGAGUGAUUAGCCCACUGUGGCUGGUUGGACACAGGCUAUUUAUUUUAUUGUAUAGCUGUUCAAUAUAGGAUGUAGUGGAGGCCUGAAUUUCCAUGGAAUGGAUGCACUUUUAACCCCUCAGCUGACUCAGAAUGAGGUAAAUCUGUGGGUGGAACAGGGGUGUCUGUGAGAACAACACCAGGACUGGAGAGGCUUUUGUGCUCUGUGCCCUCAGACAGGGUAGCUCCAGCAUGGGGGAAGCUGCUCUCCUGGGCUCACAAUUCCCUUCCUAUACACGACUCAGCUCAUCGCCAAGAAGUUUUAUCGGAGCCAAUGUUUUAUACAAAAGAACUUUCUUGAGGAGCCUUGCAGAGAGGUGGAGCUAAUGUGCUGGGAUUCCUUGAGAAAGAGAAGGAAACUGCUCUGGGAAGUACUGCCUGCCUCGGGGGAGAGAUGUUGAGGUUUGGAGAGGAAUGGCACAGAGCCUUCGAUUCACUGGAUGCCUGAACCAGGAUGCAUUGAAGACAAUGGAGCCAUGUAAAAUGAUGGCAAAUUGUGACCUCAGCAGGUUUUUAAAUUGUUCCAAAGGUGGAAAACUGAAUGAAGCUACCUUCUACUUACCACUGACAGACAGAGCUCAGGAUCCUAAGGGAUGUAGAAACUGCCUCAGUUCCUCUGCUCUCCUCUGGUGGCCUGAGCCAGCAAGAGCCAAGCGUGGUUUGGCUUGGUUUGGUCUGAGAUGGAAAGAAGACUCAUGCAGGAGAAUAUCUCUGGUCCUCUCCUGGAUCCCAGCAACCUUCUUUCUGUUGGAGAGAGAAAGAAAUUCCUGCUGUGUUGUUGAACAAACAAUAAGCUGCUGUGUGGUCAUGCUGGGCUAAACCCUGAAAUAAAGCUACAAAAAGUG